UCUCUCUCUCUCUCUCUCUCUCACACGCACACACCUGCAGGUACGUACUGUGAACUUGAUCUAGACGGAGACUGUCAAGACUGAGUACGUGGCUGAACGGAAGUGAGCGAAUGGAUUCCGGCGAUCUGUCACUCGCUGCUCAAGUAAGUAACCGUUGCUUCUUCUAUAUGUAGGAUUAUAACGUCGAUUGAUGAAGAAAACGGUGGCGUUUGGGUGUUUGGUCUGUGGUCUAGAGUCUUGACUGAUACAGUAGAAAGAGAGGGAGGGGGUGUUGGAAAACAGAAAACGCGUGAUUUUAGUAUUGUCGGGAAGGAGCUUCACAAGAAUUCCACAGUUCGCCGCUUGCUUCUUUGUCUGCUAUGCCUAAUCUAUCUUAUAUAUAAUAAAG
rnacentral:lncRNA from 1 species